rnacentral:lncRNA from 1 species
CACAUGUGAGUAGUGGGCGCUCCUGUGCAAGAAUGAAUACGAAAGGGCUUUGUUACUGCAACUUCCCUAAUGGCAUCUUGGCGCCCUUAAGAAUAAUGACCUGUUUGAUGGGGGUAAGGCUGUCAAAUCGAAGUCGGUGAUUUUUGUUUGUUUGUUUGUUUUAGAAUUUUUGACCCUGCAAAAGGAGUUGGGGAUAAAAAUUUUGGUCUACAGCUCCACCAGCAUUGUCCACUUCUGUCUUAGACCAAGCCACUACAUCUCAGUGGUCUCUUAAAAGGCAUGGACCAAGAUUCUUCCACACUAGGUCCAAAACACAUCAUCAUUAUUUUGGACUUUUAAAAAGAUCAUUCAAUUUAUCAGAUGACGGAAAGAAGAAAGAAGAAAACAUGCUUUUGCUGGUAAAAUACCACAAAUUAGUGUUGAGACGUGCCAAUUCCAAGAAUGUUAUUCUCUAGUUGCAACAGACUGUUAAAAUAGAAACCCAUUUUAUUAUGCUUCUUUUAAUGCCUUUUUCUGGAAAUAAAUUUAUAGUUAAAAAAUAGACUGAACUCA